UCCAAGAUUAAGGCCAUCAGCUCCUCUUAAACUGCUUUUCAGUUGUUGUUUUCUGGCGUGCGUAGCCCUGAGGAUAGCUGAGAUAAUGCUUAAGUCUGGAGAACGUCGAGGUCUAGAAACAAGGACGUUUCUAUGUUGGUUUUGUUGUGAGAAACUGUACUUUGCAGAAACAAAUGAGAAAUUACCAGUCUAUUGACGUGGAUUUGACUGUCUGACAUUCACUUUGACGGGUCGCUACUCGCUUUGUGUUGAUGCAGUUCUACUGAUUGAUCACACUGGCGUGUAAAGAGAAGAUGACGAUCGAGGAUUUCUUCUAUUAACUGGUCAGCUGUAACCCCCUGUACUAUAACUGGACUAUAAUUUCCCAUGGAUUACAUGGACUAUAUGAUGCUCUAUCCUCUUGGGUAAAUUUGUUAACUUCGGAUGUCCGCUGUAUAAGCUUGAAAUAAAAUGCAUACCACACUGAA